AUACGGAGGAUCCGAGCGUUAUCCGGAUUUAUUGGGUUUAAAGGGUGCGCAGGCGGGAGAUUAAGUCGGCGGCGAAAUUUUGCAGCUCAACUGUAAAAGUGCCUUCGAAACUGGUUUACUUGAGUGUAGAUGAAGUAGGCGGAAUUUGUGGUGUAGCGGUGAAAUGCAUAGAUAUCACGAGGAACUCCGAUUGCGCAGGCAGCUUACUAAACUACUACUGACGCUCAGGCACGAAGGCGUGGGGAUCAAACAGGAUUAGAUACCCUGGUAGUCCACGCAGUAAACGAUGAUUACUAGCUGUUUGCGAUACAAUGUAAGCGGCUGAGCGAAAGCGUUAAGUAAUCCACCUGGGGAGUACGUUCGCAAGAAUGAAACUCAAAGGAAUUGACGGGG
rnacentral:rRNA from 1 species